UACAGAGGUCUCAAGCGUUGUUCGGAUUCAUUGGGCGUAAAGGGUGCGUAGGUGGCGCCGUAAGUCAGGUGUGAAAUCUCGGGGCUCAACCCCGAAACUGCACUUGAUACUGCGGUGCUCGAGUACUGGAGAGGAGAUUGGAAUUUACGGUGUAGCAGUGAAAUGCGUAGAUAUCGUAAGGAAGACCAGUGGCGAAGGCGAAUCUCUGGACAGUUACUGACGCUGAGGAGCGAAAGCGUGGGGAGCGAACAGG
rnacentral:rRNA from 1 species